rnacentral:rRNA from 1 species
UUUCCGGUUGAUCCUGCCGGAGGUCAUUGCUAUUGGAGUCCGAUUUAGCCAUGCUAGUUGCACGGGUUAGACCCGUAGCAGAUAGCUCAGUAACACGUGGCCAAACUACCCUCUGGAUACGGACAACCUCGGGAAACUGAGGCUAAUCCGUAAUACGAUUCCCAGCCUGGAGUGGCGGGAAUCCGAAAGGCUUCGGCGCCAGAGGAUGUGGCUGCGGCCGAUUAGGUAGACGGUGGGGUAACGGCCCACCGUGCCGAUAAUCGGUACGGGUUGUGAGAGCAAGAGCCCGGAGACGGUAUCUGAGACAAGAUACCGGGCCCUACGGGGCGCAGCAGGCGCGAAACCUUUACACUGCACGCGAGUGCGAUAAGGGGACUCCAAGUGCGAGGGCAUAUAGUCCUCGCUUUUCUCGACCGUAAGAAGGUCGAGGAACAAGUGCUGGGCAAGACCGGUGCCAGCCGCCGCGGUAAUACCGGCAGCACGAGUGAUGACCGCUAUUAUUGGGCCUAAAGCGUCCGUAGCUGGCCAUGCAAGUCCAUCGGGAAAUCCGCGCGCUUAACGCGCGGGCGUCCGGUGGAAACUGCAUGGCUUGGGACCGGAAGACCUGAGGGGUACGUCUGGGGUAGGAGUGAAAUCCCGUAAUCCUGGACGGACCACCGGUGGCGAAAGCGCCUCAGGAAGACGGAUCCGACGGUGAGGGACGAAAGCUCGGGUCACGAACCGGAUUAGAUACCCGGGUAGUCCGAGCUGUAAACGAUGUCUGCUAGGUGUGCCACAGGCUACGAGCCUGUGGUGUGCCGUAGGGAAGCCGUGAAGCAGACCGCCUGGGAAGUACGUCCGCAAGGAUGAAACUUAAAGGAAUUGGCGGGGGAGCACUACAACCGGAGGAGCCUGCGGUUUAAUUGGACUCAACGCCGGACAUCUCACCAGCAUCGACAGUAGCAAUGAAGGUCAGUGUGAUGAGCUUACUGGAGCUACUGAGAGGAGGUGCAUGGCCGCCGUCAGCUCGUACCGUGAGGCGUCCUGUUAAGUCAGGCAACGAGCGAGACCCGCACUCCUAAUUGCCAGCAGUACCCUUGUGGUAGCUGGGUACAUUAGGAGGACUGCCAGUGCCAAACUGGAGGAAGGAACGGGCAACGGUAGGUCAGUAUG